rnacentral:rRNA from 1 species
UACGGGAGGCAGCAGUGGGGAAUAUUGCACAAUGGGCGCAAGCCUGAUGCAGCCAUGCCGCGUGUAUGAAGAAGGCCUUCGGGUUGUAAAGUACUUUCAGCAGUGAGGAAGGUGGGUAUGUUAAUAGCAUACUCAUUUGACGUUAGCUGCAGAAGAAGCACCGGCUAACUCCGUGCCAGCAGCCGCGGUAAUACGGUAGGGUGCGAGCGUUAAUCGGAAUUACUGGGCGUAAAGCGCAUGCAGGUGGUUUGUUAAGUCAGAUGUGAAAGCCCGGGGCUCAACCUCGGAAUUGCAUUUGAAACUGGCAAACUAGAGUACUGUAGAGGGGGUAGAAUUUCAGGUGUAGCGGUGAAAUGCGUAGAGAUCUGAAGGAAUACCGGUGGCGAAGGCGGCCCCCUGGACAGAUACUGACACUCAGAUGCGAAAGCGUGGGGAGCAAACAGGAUUAGAUACCCUGGUAG